GUUCCCGGAGAGCCAACGGACGGCGGGAGUGGAGGACCCAGGCAGCGCGGGGCCGAGCACCAUCGACGGCCCCUUGGGGUGAAGCCGCCGCGGCGGCCGGGCAUUCUUCGCCUGCCCGAACCCGACAGGACUCCCUUCACAGGCGGCUGACGAAGGAGUG
rnacentral:sRNA from 2 species